UACGUAGGGGGCUAGCGUUGUCCGGAAUCAUUGGGCGUAAAGAGCGCGUAGGCGGCCAGAUAAGUCCGGUGUGAAAGUCAAAGGCUCAACCUUUGAAUGCCGCUGGAAACUGUCUGGCUAGAGUCCGGGAGGGGCGAGUGGAAUUCCUGGUGUAGCGGUGAAAUGCGCAGAUAUCGGGAAGAACACCCGUGGCGAAGGCGGCUCUCUGGGACGGUACUGACGCUGAGACGCGAAAGCGUGGGGAGCGAACAGG
rnacentral:rRNA from 1 species